GCUGUUUAGUAGAUAAUUCCCUAAAUUGGUGCCCUUAUGUGAGAUUUCCAUAUUUAAAGAUAGCAAAUUAGGGUGUUGUUUAGCAGAUAGCUCCCUUAUUUGGUGUCCUUAAGUAUGGCAAUGCCACAUAAGGAUAGAAAAUAGGGGAGUUAUCUACUAAACAAAGAUCGACGUUAAGAGGUGUCAGCCUGCCAAGAACAAGAAAUCUAUGCAAAUUUAUCUGGUGCCAGCAUGAGCCUGGCAUCAGAC